CCCCCCCCCCCGCCUCACCACUGCCUGCUCUCACUGCCGCCUCACCACUGCCUGCUCUGACUGCCGCCUCACCACUGCCUGCUCUGACUGCCGCCUCACCACUGCCUGCUCUCACUGCCGCCUCACCACUGCCUGCUCUCACUGCCUCCUCACCACUGCCUGCUCUCACUGCCGCCUCACCACUGGCUUCUCUAACUGCCACCUCACCACUGCCGCCUCACCACUGCCUGCUCUCACUGCCUCCUCACCACUGCCUGCUCUCACUGCCUCCUCACCAGUGACUGCUCUCACUGCCUCCUCACCACUGGCUGCUCUCACUGCCUCCUCACACUGGCUGCUCUCACUGCCUCCUCACUACUGCCUGCUCUCACUGCCUCCUCACUAUUGCCUGCUCUCACCACCCCGUACCCUCACCACCCCGUAGCCUCUCACCACCCCGUAGCCUCUCACCACCCCGUACCCUCUCACCACCCCGUACCCUCCCACCACUGCCUGCACUCGUUACCCCCUCAUAAGGUAUUCACAUUUUGAACAAACGGAGAGGAGGCUUUGAAGACGACUCUUGCGUGGCACGUCAUUUCAUCUCGGACCUGCCAUGGGUGGGGGCAGUUGCACAGCAGAAGCAUUAGAUGUCACAAUGUGUGAAGAGAAAUUCAUGAAUUCAUUCAUUGGAAGCAAGCGCCACAGUGUGUCGCUGCGUCCACUUUCCAAUGGUACUCCAGGAGCCUCCAUCUGGCCAUCCCCCAGGCAAAUGCCUGGCUCAUCCCCAUCACUUUGGGAUUGGACAUUGCAGACAGACACCCACUAAAAGGGAAGCCUCAGAUUAACCCAAGGAGAUUCAACUGUUGUGGUGGUGCUGAGGUGUCAUCCACCACACACUACAGUGGCCGGAGUGCAAAUACUGCCACCAAACUCCAAAGCAAGGUCAUCGGUGAAAUGGACAACUUCUUGGAAUGGCUCCAAUCACAAGGUCUGAGAGCAGAAACAGCCCAAGCAGUGAUCAGUGUAAUUGGAAUUGAGAAUCGGAAGGUUCUUCGAGCUUGUACAGACUCUGAUUCAUUGCGAACAGAGCUCCUCUCUCUCACCAAAGAGAAAUUUAAAUUUGCAAUGUAUGCUGACUUCUGUAAAUUUGUGAAAUCUUUUUUGAAGCCGCAGGUUGUCCAGCUUGCAGGCUCUGCUCUGUUGGGAAGUCUAUUCGUCAACUUGGAGAAUGUUAUUCGAGAACUUUCCAGUUUCUCUCAAAAGUUUGGUGGAUUCCAAAACGUGCAGCUGGAAAAUGUUCCUGGUUUCCAGGGAAUCGGUUUCAGUGAUGUCUGCAACUUCCACAAUCAGGAUGAUGGAUUCACACCCAAGUCUGAUGACGUAUGUCCUGCAAAUGUGGAACCCAGACGACACAACGGUUCAUCUGUCUCAGAAACUUUAAGAUAUGCUUCUGUAAAGGACGAUUCAGUUGUUCAUUUUACAAAUGGCAGUCCUGUCUGUUCUGUAACAGGUGAGCAGAAACCUACAAAAUGAACAUUCAAUCUUUUGAAUUGAGG
rnacentral:lncRNA from 1 species